rnacentral:rRNA from 1 species
UACGGAGGGUGCGAGCGUUGUCCGGAAUCACUGGGCGUAAAGGGCGCGUAGGCGGCGUCGUGAGUCAACGGUGAAAGCUCAGGGCUCAACCCUGAGUCGGCCGUCGAUACUGGCGAACUGGAGUGUGGCAGAGGGGGGUGGAAUUCCGCGUGUAGCAGUGAAAUGCGUAGAGAUGCGGAGGAACACCGAUGGCGAAGGCAGCCCCCUGGGCUGACACUGACGCUCAGGCACGAAAGCGUGGGGAGCAAACAGG